GAGAGCUGCGGAGGUGCUUCAUAAGGACAGCCUAGCUGACACUCCAGUGCCUGAGUGUUUGCCUUCACUGGUAGACGUUUUUCUUAGGAAGAAGCCUUCUAUGAUCGCUCCCUGUGUUCUGAUCGCUCCUUGUGUUCUCCCCGUCAGAUUUCCUUGUGACCGCCCUGUGACUCCUGGAUGUGGACAAGCGCUUCCUCCUGGAUUUCCUUGUGUUCCUCACGACGCCAUUGGUAUUACCAAUCGGUUGCCUUCCUCCGUGCACUUACCUCCCUGGUCCCUCUCCGUGGAUCCUCUGUGCCUCGCCACCGGCUGAGCCUGCCAGCCUUUCAUGUUCCGGGGGCUAACUGUCGAAACUCCGCUCGGAAGCCAGCUCACCCUGCUCUCCAGCUGCAAGGCUUACCUGCUCGCUCUCCGACGGUAACUCACUUCUCCAGCCGCCACCAUCGACAAUACUAACCUCCGCAUUCAAUCUGACGACCAGUUUCCUCCAGUCCCAGGUUCCAGAACUAUUUCCCCUGACCCCUAUUCCUUUCACCAAAAUAAAUAUUAUUGUUGUUUCA